UGCAUGUAUGGACUCUGAUAAGAGCAGCACUG
rnacentral:piRNA from 1 species